AUUGAACGCUGGCGGUAUGCUUAACACAUGCAAGUCGAACGGCAGCAUGGAAGAACUUGUUCUUCUGAUGGCGAGUGGCGGACGGGUGAGUAAUACAUUGGAUUCUGCCUUAUAGUUUGGGAUAACCACUCGAAAGAGUGGCUAAUACCGGAUGUGGACUACGGUUUAAAGCAGGGGAUCUUCGGACCUUGCGCUAUAAGAUGAGCCUAUGCAAGAUUAGCUAGUUGGUGAGGUAAAGGCUCACCAAGGCGACGAUCUUUAGCUGGUCUGAGAGGAUGAUCAGCCACAGUGGGACUGGAACACGGCCCAGACUCCUACGGGAGGCAGCAGUGGGGAAUAUUGGACAAUGGGCGGAAGCCUGAUCCAGCAAUACCGCGUGUGUGAAGAAGGCCCUAGGGUUGUAAAGCACUUUUGUCAGGGAGAAUGGAUGUUGUGGUUAAUACCCAUAGCAAUUGAUGUUACCUGAAGAAUAAGCACCGGCUAACUCCGUGCCAGCCGCCGCGGUAA
rnacentral:rRNA from 1 species